GUGCCAGCCGCCGCGGUAAUACCGGCAGCUCAAGUGAUGUCCCAUAUUAUUGGGCCUAAAGCGUCCGUAGCUGGCCGACCAAGUCUCCCGGGAAAUCCACCCGCCCAACGGGUGGGCGUCCGGUAGAAACUGGCCGGCUUGGUACCGGAAGGCUCAGAGAGUACGUCCGGGGUAGGAGUGAAAUCCCGUAAUCCCGGACGGACUACCGAUGGCGAAAGCACUCUGAGAAGACGGAUCCGACGGUGAGGGACGAAAGCCAGGGUCUCGAACCGGAUUAGAAACCCUUGUAGUCC
rnacentral:rRNA from 1 species